rnacentral:ncRNA from 1 species
ACCGGCCGCGCGGGAGAGCGUGGGGCAGGGCAACCGGCACCCACCACCGAAGGAGCAACCGCCCCGGAAACUCUCAGGUCAAAGGACCGCGCUGGCUGG